GAGUAUCAUGCCCUCACGGGUAGAUCUCCACCCUUGAAUAACAUACCUUUGUUGCUUUGGCAGGACGCACUCGUGCCAGGGGCUUCGGCCCUUGAGUACCUGCCAGAGGACCACAACUCUUGUUUUUAGUGAUGUCUGUGUACUAUAUAAUAGUUAAAACUUUCAACAACGGAUCUCUUGGUUCU
rnacentral:misc_RNA from 1 species